rnacentral:tRNA from 1 species
GCCCUGGUGGCAAAAUGGUUAAGCACUGGGCUGCUAACCAAAAGGUUGGUGGUUUGAACCUACCCAGCGGCU